rnacentral:rRNA from 1 species
GAUGAACGCUGGCGGCGUGCCUAAUACAUGCCAGUCGAGCGAACAGACGAGGAGCUUGCUCCUCUGACGUUAGCGGCGGACGGGUGAGUAACACGUGGAUAACCUACCUAUAAGACUGGGAUAACUUCGGGAAACCGGAGCUAAUACCGGAUAAUAUAUUGAACCGCAUGGUUCAAUAGUGAAAGACGGUUUUGCUGUCACUUAUAGAUGGAUCCGCGCCGCAUUAGCUAGUUGGUAAGGUAACGGCUUACCAAGGCAACGAUGCGUAGCCGACCUGAGAGGGUGAUCGGCCACACUGGAACUGAGACACGGUCCAGACUCCUACGGGAAGCAGCAGUAGGGAAUCUUCCGCAAUGGGCGAAAGCCUGACGGAGCAACGCCGCGUGUGUGAUGAAGGUCUUCGGAUCGUAAAACUCUGUUAUUAGGGAAGAACAAAUGUGUAAGUAACUAUGCACGUCUUGACGGUACCUAAUCAGAAAGCCACGGCUAACUACGUG